AUAUACAGAUUAUAUAUAUAUCUUAUGUAAUACAUAUUCGAGCCCUUAACACCUACUUCAAUUGAAUUAUAUAAAUUCUACAAAAAGGAGAAUUAAGGAGGGGGCGCGAAAGAAGGAAAAUUCUAUGAAGAGGCUCCCUACGGUCACACAGGAAUCACCACCGUCGAUCAGUCCAUUGACCUGAUCCUGGUCUCACCGCGGAGUGGCCAAGCCGUAGAAAUCGUUUUGUCGCGAAAAGGAAAAGUAGGUUCGAAGACGAUCGGUAGCGGUUGGAGAACUCCAAAGGGAUCGCAUUGAUCUCUCUCUUUUUAUAUAUUGAUCAAGUGUUGGGUGAUCAAUGCGAUUUCUCUGGAAUUUUCCACCCGUUGCCACUUCUCCUCACCCCCUCUCGAGUAACUUUUGUAUGUGUGCUCUCAUUUUGGACAUCUUAGAUCCGUUUACACUAGUGCGUAGUCUGUAUUCGAAUGGUGGAUAGAGGCGGUGGAAAAUUCUGCGGGGAAUUGGGGCUGCAGGUCCAGAUAGAAACUGUUAGAUGUGUUUCGAAAUUGAUAAUCGACUUUAAUUUUGAGGCUCUGACUUAUCUACUAUUUCGCUGUGUAAUCAAUUUGAAUAAUAAGAUAAAAUAGAUGUUUCUAGUAUGUAACAGAGGGCUCGGAUCGAUAGGCCCGCCUCCCGAGGUACGAAUUGGAUUCAAAAUCUGUUAAGAGUUUUUUUUUUUCGCUUUGUCCUGGCGGCGACAGAUCGAUCAAUGUAAAUUCUCUCAUUUCUCGUUCAUAAUUUUUUUUUCUGUAAAUAAAUUUUUACGUAAAUCUGUGUAUUUUUUUCUUA